GGGCGGAUGGUUUAGUGGUAUAAUACUCCCUUAGCAAGUUUCCAUCUGAUGGAUUCUGAUCUGGGAGUGGUCCGGGGUUCGAUUCCCCGUUCGUCCA
rfam:Metarhizium robertsii ARSEF 23 MAA_Scf_2, whole genome shotgun sequence.